AGCGUUCAUCCAUUAGUGCGUAAACCUCUGUUCUACAAGUGAAUCCAGCUGAAACCAAUUAUGCAAAUCAAAACGUUCAAUGAAUCCAAAUUAUUCAAGUAAAACACACAAACCUCCUUUUAACUUUGGGUUUAAACCGCGCUUCGAGUCGCUCGCAUCUGGUCCACAUUUAUAAGGGAUGAGAUUUAAACCACUGACUUCGUACACUGCGCCUGCAUUUGAUUGCAAAUAACCAGAACAAACUGUUUUUAUCAAGUAAACCCUAAUUCUGAACUGCAGGAAUAAACACGUGAUGCUGCAUUACCUCCACAAGGAACUCGAGGUAAAGCGACUACAAGAAGCAGACCGUGCGUAUUUCUGAGAUCGUAUGAGAACCCAAGCAAAUCUUACACUAUUUGUUGACUGAAAUAAGCUCAAAGAACAACAGAACAAUACCUGCAGCACGGGUAACAUGGCACAAGACGUGGUCCAAAAGAAUUCAAGUCUUGACACUUUUUCAACCAACACAAGGGAUAAUUGCGUAGAAAUAAUCGCCACGCUGGUUGUUCUACUAACGGUGAUCUUAGGACUGAUAAUGGUUCUGCGAUUUUGCUUUUUCACGUCCCGCCACCAGAAAGAAAUUGAAUGGAAAAUGGAGCUGGAAGACGAGAUUAUUUCAAAGUUUGGAAUGAGGGAUUUUUAUUAAAAACAAGAUUGUCAUACGAAUGAAAUAAAGACAGCAUUAUAUAUCAAA